rnacentral:rRNA from 1 species
GAACGGUUUGUUGCCUUCGGGUAACAAGCAGUGGCGGACGGGUGAGUAAUACGUAGGAAUCUACCCUUGAGUGGGGGACAACCCGGGGAAACCCGGGCUAAUACCGCAUAAUCUCUAAGGAGCAAAGCUGGGGACCUUCGGGCCUGGCGCUUUAGGAUGAGCCUACGUCGGAUUAGCUAGUUGGUAGGGUAAAGGCCUACCAAGGCGACGAUCCGUAGCUGGUCUGAGAGGACGACCAGCCACACUGGGACUGAGACACGGCCCAGACUCCUACGGGAGGCAGCAGUGGGGAAUAUUGGACAAUGGGGGCAACCCUGAUCCAGCAAUGCCGCGUGUGUGAAGAAGGCCCUCGGGUUGUAAAGCACUUUCAGUGGGGAGAAAAGACUUACAGCGAAUACCUGUAAGAGUUGAUGUUACCUACAGAAGAAGCACCGGCUAACUCUGUGCCAGCAGCCGCGGUAAUACAGAGGGUGCAAGCGUUAAUCGGAAUUACUGGGCGUAAAGCGCAUGUAGGCGGGUAUUUAAGUCGACUGUGAAAGCCCUGGGCUUAACCUAGGAACGGCAGUCGAUACUGGAUACCUAGAGUAUGGUAGAGGACAGUGGAAUUCCCGGUGUAGCGGUGAAAUGCAUAGAUAUCGGGAGGAACACCAGUGGCGAAGGCGACUGUCUGGAUCAAUACCGACGCUGAGAUGCGAAAGCG